rnacentral:rRNA from 1 species
CCAAUAGCGUAUAUUAAAGUUGUUGCAGUUAAAAAGCUCGUAGUUGAAUUUCGGGGUCAGCAGGUCGGUCGUGCCACUGGUAUGUACUGGCUUCGCUGAUUCCUCCCUCUUGUAGAACCGUAAUGCCAUUAAGUUGGUGUUGCGGGGAAACAGGACUGUUACUUUGAAAAAAUUAGAGUGUUUAAAGCAGGCUAACGCUUGAAUACAUUAGCAUGGAAUAAUGAAAUAGGACGAUCGAUCCUAUUUUGUUGGUUUCUAGGAUUGACGUAAUGAUUAAUAGGGAUAGUUGGGGGCAUUAGUAUUCAAUUGUCAGAGGUGAAAUUCUUGGAUUUAUUGAAGACUGACUACUGCGAAAGCAUUUGCCAAGGAUGUUUUCAUUAAUCAAGAACGAAAGUUAGGGGAUCGAAGACGAUCAGAUACCGUCGUAGUCUUAACCAUAAACUAUGCCGACUAGGGAUCGGAUGAUGUUAAUUUUUUAAUGACUCAUUCGGCGCCUUACG